rnacentral:rRNA from 1 species
GACGAACGCUGGCGGCGUGCUUAACACAUGCAAGUCGAACGAAGUGGCGAACGGGUGAGUAACGCGUAAUCAACCUGCCCUUCAGCGGGGGACAACAGUUGGAAACGACUGCUAAUACCGCAUACUGAAGGUGGGGCUUCCGUCUGAUUAGCUAGUGGGAGGGGUAACGGCCCACCAAGGCGAUGAUCAGUAGGCGGUCCGGGAGGAUGAACGGGCACAUUGGGACUGUGACACGGCCCAAACUCCUACGGGAGGGAGCAGUGGGGGAUGUUCCGAAAUGGAAGGAAGUCGGAAGGGGCAACGCCGCGUGAGUGAUGACGGGCUUCGGGUUGUAAAGCUAUGUUAAUCGGGGAGCGGUAACGGAAUAGAAAGCCACGGCUAACUACGUGCCAGCAGCCGCGGUAAUAC